UUGUUGCAGUUAAAAAGCUCGUAGUUGGAUGUAUGACAAGACCGGGCGGUCUGUCGCAAGACAGCACUGAGCGUGUCGCGUCACGAUGCUGGGGAACUGCUCAAAAGGCAGGGAACCAGGGAUUACUUUGAAGAAAUUAGAGUGUUUAAAGCAGGCGAUUGCUUGAAUACAUUAGCAUGGAAUAAUGAGAUAGGACUGUGGUCUUAUUUUGUUGGUUUGAGGGCCGUAGUAAUGAUUAAUAGGGAUAGUUGGGGGCAUUUGUAUUCAGUAGUCAGAGGUGAAAUUCUUGGAUUUACUGAAGACAAACUAAUGCGAAAGCAUUUGCCAAGGAUGUUUUCAUUAAUCAAGAACGAAAGUUAGGGGAUCGAAGACGAUUAGAUACCGUCGUAGUCUUAACCAUAAACUAUGCCGACUAGGGAUCGGCAGAUGUCACUGAGACGCUGUCGGCACCUUUCGAGAAAUCAAAGUUUUUGGGUUCUGGGGGGAGUAUGGUCGCAAGGCUGAAACUUAAAGGAAUUGACGGAAGGGCACCACCAGGAGUGGAGCCUGCGGCUUAAUUUGACUCAACACGGGAAAACUCACCAGGUCCGGACAUGGUAAGG
rnacentral:rRNA from 1 species